GAUGAACGCUGGCGGCGUGCCUAAUACAUGCAAGUCGAGCGAACGGACGAGAAGCUUGCUUCUCUGAUGUUAGCGGCGGACGGGUGAGUAACACGUGGAUAACCUACCUAUAAGACUGGGAUAACUUCGGGAAACCGGAGCUAAUACCGGAUAAUAUUUUGAACCGCAUGGUUCAAAAGUGAAAGACGGUCUUGCUGUCACUUAUAGAUGGAUCCGCGCUGCAUUAGCUAGUUGUUAAGGUAACGGCUUACCAAGGCAACGAUGCAUAGCCGACCUGAGAGGGUGAUCGGCCGCACUGGAACUGAGACACGGUCCAGACUCCUACGGGAGGCAGCAGUAGGGAAUCUUCCGCAAUGGGCGAAAGCCUGACGGAGCAACGCCGCGUGAGUGAUGAAGGUCUUCGGAUCGUAAAACUCUGUUAUUAGGGAAGAACAAAUGUGUAAGUAACUGUGCACAUCUUGACGGUACCUAAUCAGAAAGCCACGGCUAACUACGUG
rnacentral:rRNA from 1 species